rnacentral:rRNA from 1 species
UACGUAGGCAGCGAGCGUUGUUCGGAGUUACUGGGCGUAAAGGGUGUGUAGGCGGUUUUUUAAGUUUGGUGUGAAAUCUCCCGGCUCAACCGGGAGGGUGCGCCGAAUACUGAGGGACUCGAGUGCGGGAGAGGAAAGUGGAAUUCCUGGUGUAGCGGUGAAAUGCGUAGAUAUCAGGAGGAACACCGGUGGUGUAGACGGCUUUCUGGACCGUAACUGACGCUGAGACGCGAAAGCGUGGGGAGCGAACAGG